UCACAUAGAGAAAAGAAGAUAAACAAACAAGCAACAGUCAGCUUUUGUUCUUUUAUUCCUUCUGUAUUUGAUUUUUCUUUUGUUUUAUUAUUCAACAGUACAACUUAAAGAAAAUGAUUAUGAAGGCUAAAAAAUGGGAAAGGAAUAAACCGAAAGGAGUACAUCUGAAGGGAAAAAAAUGACAAAAACGUUUCAAAAAAUGCCGAUGGUGGGAAUGAAACUUAGCAUUAAAUUUAAAACGAAACAACAGAAUACAGAAAUGCAUUCGAAACCAAUUAGUGCUGAGCUGUUCAGAUGUUGAUCGACACAUUUGCAAUGGAGUUUCCGCAGUUUUCGUAUUUGAUGUAUUUAAUGUUCACUUUUACCGACUCAUUCAAAACAAAAGUUUACAACAUAACAUUUCUGUAUUCUAAAUAAAACAUGCUAAACAAUGUAAUGUAUCACGUGGAAUGGAAAUUGAUGUGUUUAUUGUUUUUUAAGUGAGUGUGAUAAUGUGUGUAUAAGUGUUUUUGAUUCCUUAAAUUAUGUAUGCGUAAAUCUCGUUGGAGACAUGAAGGUGUAUUUUGAUUUAUACUAGAUUUAAUACGAUUGGUUAAUUUAAGCAUUUUGGAUUGUGCGUAUUUGAAUUUAUAUGCCUAUUUUACUGAUAUCUGAGAUGCAUGAAUUGUACGUUUUUCGAAAAAAAAAGUUUUAAAUCCGUUGAAAAAGUUUUUCAUAACCAGUGCUGUUAAAUUUCAUAAAAAUCACGUGACUUUGUCAAUUAAAUACUGCUGUUAGGGUAUCUAUAAAUAUGGCUAAAUGUGUUAAGAAAAUAGGGUCGUAAAUCACUGAUAAGAAAGUUAUUUAGUGUCUUCAAUUAAAGUUAAACAACACGAUUGAGCCUCAAAUAAAUGAACUAGAAAAAAAAAGUUAAACAACUGUUUCUUUUUAAACCAGCAAAGGUAUAAUCUAUCUUCGCACACGAAUACAAAGCUUGAAGCAUCGUUUUCUAAGCUGAACAUAAUCAAAACACGUAAAUUUCGACUUUUAUGAAAAGCGACACGCUUGUUUUUGCUUUCUUCGAUAUUUUUGUCGUUAUAUACGUUAUUUAAAAGUGACCCACAAAAAACAAUUAGAAAUAACGUAUGGAAAACAAAAUAUUGGGACUGAAAAACACAAAAUUCGAUGAUGAAAAAUAGAAACCGGGCACUUCACAAUUGUUUGUAACCCCAGUAACACAUAUGGUAUAAUUGAGUAUUAUCAACUGAUGUAUGACCUAAACUAGUCAUAUAUAAGUUGAUAAUACUCAAUCAUAACAUGUGUGUUGCUUUCCCAAUGGAAACUGCGAACGUAUGGUUGCUUUUAGGUACUAUUUUGUAUUUUUCUUAGAAAUAUUUCUCCUAUUGCAGUGCUUAUUUUCAUUGGCGUAGGAACAGAGGGGGGCAGGGGGGCCUGGCCAGAAUCAUCCAGCCCCCCCCCCCCCCCAGAUUUUUUACCGGUAAUAAAAAAAUAUAAAAAAACAACCAAUUAACACGUAGCAAAAUCUUCUGAUUCAAUGUAACUCUGAAAAGAUUUUUGACAAUAACAAGUGUUGCGCAAAAUAGCGCAUCUCAAAUUUGAACAAGAAUUGCAAUAUUCAAUCUAACAGCUAGCAAUGUUAAGAAAUCUGUCCAGUAUAAAUAACUAUCAGAAGCCAAACUGCAUUGCUAAGAUGGAGGUGCGUGCAACUAGGAAUCAAUUGUUUUCCUACCAAUAGUCACCGAAUUUCUUUGUAGCUGAUCACAGACAAACAUGCUUGUCUUUUGUUCUGCUGAAAGAGUCGAUGUCUUCAAGCACAUUCCGCAAUCGCAACAAUGAGAAUACAAUAUGCAAACCCCUGUUCACUUGUCAAUGUGACGUUGUACUAGAUGCAUGUUGUACUAGAUUCUCUAUGUUUGUCUGUGAUGCCUAUACGUGCUGUAAAAUAGAGUAAGUCAUAAAAUUGUACGAACGAGAACAAAAUGCAGCACGGGCGUGUUAGAAAUAUACUCUAAUACGGGAAAACACCGAAAUUGUGAGUACCCAUUUAGCUUUCAGUAUAACAAAUUUAUACCUAUUCUAAUGAAUAAAUGUUAGCUUUUUACCAUGUGACAGAUAAAUAAAUUUCUGGUUUAUUUGUCCUGCUGUAAGAUCGGUGCCCAUCGCUCUUGUUCUCAACAACAAGAGUAAUGGUUAUUGACAAAUAUCUCUUCAGUAAUUACGUUUUUUAUGUUGUACAACUGAAGUGAGGAAACCUCUAUUGUUUCACAUAUCAUCAGCGUGGCGGCUUCGUGUGACAACCGAUAGCUUAACCGUUGCUGUCGAUCGAAUGGUUCAUGUUGAAAAUAACCGUUGCAAAAAAUACCCUGGUACAAUAAAAAGGGUCAAUAUCCUGGAAAUUCGAUUCCCAAAAUUCGUUCUAAAUCCAAAUAAUACUGUUUCAGCAUAAAGCAGCAAGCUCCCUGCAUUCUGAUUUAUUAUGUUUUUGGAGGAUAACCUGCUCGAGGUGUCCAGUAAUGAGAAUUUACUAAAGAAAUCCAUAUAUUAACUUCAACUCGUAUAAUGUCCGAAAACAAUUAUUGAAAAAAAAAACAGACAGAAUUGCUAAAGGAAUUUCUAAGACAAUAAAUAGCGAAAUUUUU